AACGAACGCUGGCGGCAUGCCUAACACAUGCCAGUCGAACGAGACCUUCGGGUCUAGUGGCGCACGUGUGCGGAACGCGUGGGAACCUGCCCUUAGGUUCGGAAUACCUCAGAGAAAUUUGAGCUAAUACCGGAUAAUGUCUUCGGACCAAAGAUUUAUCGCUUUUGGAUGGGCCCGCGUAGGAUUAGCCUGUUGGUGGGGUAAUGGCCUACCAAGACGACGAUCCUUAGCUGGUCGGGGAGGAGGAUCAGCCACACUGGGCCUGAGACACGGCCCAGAAUCGUACGGGAGGGAGGAGUGGGGAAUAUUGGACAAUGGGCGAAAGCCUGGUCCAGCAAUGCCGCGUAAGUGGGGAAGGCCUUAGGGUAGUAAAGCUGUUUUACCAGGGAUGAUAAUGACAGUACCUGGAGAAUAAGCACCGGCUAACUCCGUG
rnacentral:rRNA from 1 species